rnacentral:rRNA from 1 species
UACGAAGGGGGCUAGCGUUGCUCGGAAUGACUGGGCGUAAAGGGCGCGUAGGCGGUUUGGUUAGUUAGGCGUGAAAUUCCUGGGCUUAACCUGGGGACUGCGCUUAAUACAGCCAGGCUUGAGUUCGGAAGAGGGUUGUGGAAUUCCCAGUGUAGAGGUGAAAUUCGUAGAUAUUGGGAAGAACACCGGUGGCGAAGGCGGCAACCUGGUCCGAUACUGACGCUGAGGCGCGAAAGCGUGGGGAGCAAACAGG